UACAGAGGUCUCAAGCGUUGUUCGGAUUCAUUGGGCGUAAAGGGUGCGUAGGCGGCGCGGUAAGUCGGGUGUGAAAUCUCGGGGCUUAACUCCGAAACUGCAUUCGAUACUGCCGUGCUUGAGGACUGGAGAGGAGACUGGAAUUUACGGUGUAGCGGUGAAAUGCGUAGAGAUCCGGAAGAACACCGGUGGCGAAGGCGGCCUGCUGGGCUAUGGCUGACACUGAGGCGCGACAGCGUGGGGAGCAAACAGG
rnacentral:rRNA from 1 species